rnacentral:rRNA from 1 species
CCCUUAGACGUUCUGGGCCGCACGCGCGCUACACUGACGAAGGCAACGAGCUUUCCUUUACCGAAAGGUACGGGUAAUCUUUUGAAACUUUGUCGUGCUGGGGAUAGAUCCUUGCAAUUUUUGAUCUUAAACGAGGAAUGCCUAGUAAGCGCAAGUCAUCAACUUGCGUUGAUUACGUCCCUGCCCUUUGUACACACCGCCCGUCGCUACUACCGAUUGAAUGGUUUAGUGAGGCCUUCGGAUCCGCGACUCGUUUGUGGAGAAGUUGGACAAACUCAGUCAUUUAGAGGAAGUAAAAGUCGUAACA